AUGGCUGGGUUUACAAGAGGUUUUAAUGGCUGGGUUUACAAGAGGUUUUAAUAGCUGGGUUCAAGAGAGGUUUUAAUGGCUGGGUUUACAAGAUGUUUUAAUAGCUGGGUUCAAGAGAGGUUUUAAUGGCUGGGUUUACAAGAGGUUUUAAUAGCUGGGUUCAAGAGAGGUUUUAAUGGCUGGGUUUACAAGAUGUUUUAAUAGCUGGGUUCAAGAGAGGUUUUAAUAGCUGGGUUCAAGAGAGGUUUUAAUAGCUGGGUUCAAGAGAGGUUUUAAUAGCUGGGUUCAAGAGAGGUUUUAAUAGCUGGGUUCAAGAGAGGUUUUAAUAGCUGGGUUCAAGAGAGGUUUUAAUAGCUGGGUUCAAGAGAGGUUUUAAUAGCUGGGUUCAAGAGAGGUUUUAAUAGCUGGGUUCAAGAGAGGUUUUAAUAGCUGGGUUCAAGAGAGGUUUUAAUGGCUGGGUUCAAGAGAGGUUUUAAUGGCUGGGUUCAAGAGAGGUUUUAAUAGCUGGGUUCAAGAGAGGUUUUAAUGG